UUAGAGUUUGAUCCUGGCUCAGGACGAACCUUGGCGGCGCGCUUAACACAUGCAAGUCGAACGGAGUUGCAUCUUAACCCUCUUCGGAGGGGGCGGGUGCAUACUUAGUGGCGGAUGGGUGAGUAACGCGUGAGCAACCUGCCUUUCAGAGGGGGAUAACACAAUGAAAAUUGUGCUAAUACCGCAUAACGUUACACUGCGGCGUCACAGAGUAACCAAAGGAGAAAUCCGCUGAAAGAUGGGCUCGCGUCCGAUUGGGUAGUUGGUGAGGCAAUGGCUCACCAAGCCGACGAUCGGUAGCCGGACUGAGAGGUUGACCGGCCACAUUGGGACUGAGACACGGCCCAGACUCCUACGGGAGGCAGCAGUGGGGGAUAUUGCACAAUGGGCGCAAGCCUGAUGCAGCGACGCCGCGUGAGGGAAGAAGGUCUUCGGAUUGUAAACCUUUGUCCCAUGGGAAGAAACAAAUGACGGUACCAUGGGAGGAAGCCACGGCUAACUACGUGCCGGCAACCCGCGGUAAUACGUAGGUGGCGAGCGUUGUCCGGAAUUACUGGGUGUAAAGGGUGCGUAAGCGGUGUAGCAAGUUGGAUGUAAAAUACUCACGCUCUACCUGAGAACUGCUUUCAAAAUUGUUGCUCUUGAGUAGAGUAGAAGCAAGCGGAAUUUCCCGUGGUACCGUAGGAAUGCCACAAGAUCAGGGAGGAACACCCAGUGGCGAAGGCGGCUUGCUGGGCUUUUACUGACGCUGAGGCACGAAAGCAUGGGUAGCAAACAGGAUUAGAUACCCUGGUAGUCCAUGCCGUAAACGAUGAUUACUAGGUGUGGGUGGACUGACCCCAUCCGUGCCGGAGUUAACACAAUAAGUAAUCCACCUGGGGAGUACGACCGCAAGGUUAAAACUCAAAGGAAUUGACGGGGGCCCGCACAAGCAGUGGAGUAUGUGGUUUAAUUCGAAGCAACGCGAAGAACCUUACCGGGGCUUGACAUCCUGCGAAUCCUUCAGAGAUGAGGGAGUGCCUUCGGGAACGCAGAGACAGGUGGUGCAUGGUUGUCGUCAGCUCGUGUCGUGAGAUGUUGGGUUAAGUCCCGCAACGAGCGCAACCCUUGUUGAUAGUUGCUACGCAAGAGCACUCUAUCGAGACUGCCGCUGACAAAGCGGAGGAAGGUGGGGACGACGUCAAAUCAUCAUGCCCCUUAUGUCCCGGGCUACACACGUACUACAAUGGCCGUUAACAGAGGGCUGCAAAGCCGCGAGGUGGAGCAAAUCCCCAAAAACGGUCUCAGUUCGGAUUGUAGGCUGCAACUCGCCUACAUGAAGUCGGAAUUGCUAGUAAUCGCGAAUCAGCAUGUCGCGGUGAAUACGUUCCCGGGCCUUGCACUAACGGCCCGUCA
rnacentral:rRNA from 1 species